rnacentral:rRNA from 1 species
CCCUUAGAUGUUCUGGGCUGCACGCGCGCUACAUUGACUGAAUCAACGAGUUUUUCCUUGGCCGAAAGGUCUGGGCAAUCUUUGAAACUCAGUCGUACUAUGGAUCGCUGAUUGCAACUAUUCGGCGUGAAAGAGGAAUGCCUUGUAAAUAUAGUUCAUCAGACUGUAUUGAAUACGUCCCUGCCCUUUGUACACACCGCCCGUCGCUCCUACCAAUUGGUGCAAACGGUGAGAAGUUCGGAGAUAUUGAGCAUGCAGGGUCAAACUUGCGGUUCUAAAUCAAAGUACUUCAAAUCUUUUGUACUAGAGGAAGGAGAAGUCGUAACA